CACGGGGACGGACACACACACACGAUCCCCUGAAAGUCCUAAUUGCAGAGCCACUGGAGAUCAGCAGGAGCCUGGAGGAAGGAGGCGAGGGUCCCCUAGAAGGGUUUACUGCGGCGAACAGAAGGGAAUCUGUUGCUGUCUGUGGGGCCACAAACCUCAAGCAAUUUCCUGCCGGGCGAGGGUGGAGGCACCAGUCACCCUCCGAUUCAGUGCUGAGCUCAAAGAUUAAUGUCAGGCAGGCCCUCCCCUUAGGAACACAGAAAGUGAGCCUCCCAGAGCCGGCAGGACGGGUCCCAGACUAUGGAGCACGCCUGUGGCUGGGCUGCGCUGUUUUCUGAAGGCUGGUGCUGGGCCCCUGCCUCUGAAGAUGCCCUUCUUAAUUUACUCCUCUCCUUGGGGAGAGCUCCGGGGUGCCUGCUCUACCCUGCUGCCCCCUCCCUACACCGAAAGGAAGGAAGCCUGGGCACCUGCCCCGCCCCCACCUUUGCACGGGUUCCAGAACUGACCUAGCGUUGGGGACAGGACAGGAGUGGCAGGGACCUGCUCUCAGCUGUUCCACCUCCCCGCUUCCCUCGCGCCCCAAACAAGAGCAUCCUGGCCUGGACUGGGCAAGGAUCCUUUCCCAGGAACUGAGCCUGGUCCAACUCGGCACGGGCAGAAACGGGAAGGAGUCGGGCAGGGGGCUGGCACGACCGAAAUCUUGCCAGUAACGCAGACCUGGGUUCGUUCACCUCCAGCUUUUCCACCUAGUGGUGUCGUGACCUUGGAGGAGAGGCUUCCUCCCUAGAGCCCAGUGCCCUCCCUGGCCAGGAGGAAAGAACAGCGCCCUCCCCAGGGGUGGCCGCGAAGGUGAAAGGCAGAGGCGGAAGUGUGGGCCCGGACGCACAGUGCCCGCUGCCUCUAAGCCCGACUUCGUGCCCCCCGAAGUGAGCAGAGGGUGGGCACUGCCAUCCCCGCCUGGCUCUGCCCCCUCGACACCGUUCUGGCAAUUCACCGAAGCCAAACUACCCUCGGCGGUGGCCGGACCCGGGCGCGCGUGUUCUU